GACGAACGCUGGCGGCGUACUUAACACAUGCAAGUCGAACGCGCCUGUCCUCUGGGUUUCUGGGGGGUGGGUGAGUGGCGAACGGGUGAGUAACACGUGAGUAACCUGCCCCCUUCUUCGGGAUAACGGUCUGAAAGGGCUGCUAAUACCGGGUAUUCACUGGUCUCCGCAUGGGGUCUGGUGGAAAGGUUUUUUUCUGGUGGGGGAUGGGCUCGCGGCCUAUCAGCUUGUUGGUGGGGUGAUGGCCCACCAAGGCUUUGACGGGUAGCCGGCCUGAGAGGGUGACCGGUCACAUUGGGACUGAGAUACGGCCCAGACUCCUACGGGAGGCAGCAGUGGGGAAUAUUGCACAAUGGGCGCAAGCCUGAUGCAGCGACGCCGCGUGAGGGAUGGAGGCCUUCGGGUUGUGAACCUCUUUCGCCCGUGGUCAAGCCGCGACGUGGGUCGUGGUGAGGGUAGUGGGUAAAGAAGCGCCGGCUAACUACGUG
rnacentral:rRNA from 1 species